UCAGGAUGAACGCUGGCGGCGUGCUUAACACAUGCAAGUCGAACGGACUUGUGACACCGUCUCGGAUUUAGCUUGCUAUUGAAGAGACACCGUUGCAAGUUAGUGGCGGACGGGUGAGUAACGCGUGGGCAACCUGCCUUUAUCCGGGGGAUAACAGUUAGAAAUGACUGCUAAUACCGCAUAAGCGCACGGUACCGCAUGGUACAGUGUGAAAAACUCCGGUGGAUAGAGAUGGACCCGCGUUAGAUUAGCCAGUUGGCGUGGUAACGGCCCACCAAAGCGACGAUCUAUAGCCGGCCUGAGAGGGCGACCGGCCACAUUGGGACUGAGACACGGCCCAAACUCCUACGGGAGGCAGCAGUGGGGAAUAUUGUACAAUGGGGGAAACCCUGAUGCCAGCGACGCCGCGUGAGUGAAGAAGUAUUUCGGUAUGUAAAGCUCUAUCAGCAGGGAAGAAAAAGGACGGUACCUGCACAAGAAGCCCCGGCUAACUACGUGCCAGCCGCUGC
rnacentral:rRNA from 1 species